UAGGGAAUCUUCCGCAAUGGGCGAAAGCCUGACGGAGCAACGCCGCGUGAGUGAUGAAGGUCUUCGGAUCGUAAAACUCUGUUAUUAGGGAAGAACAAAUGUGUAAGUAACUAUGCACGUCUUGACGGUACCUAAUCAGAAAGCCACGGCUAACUACGUGCCAGCAGCCGCGGUAAUACGUAGGUGGCAAGCGUUAUCCGGAAUUAUUGGGCGUAAAGCGCGCGUAGGCGGUUUUUUAAGUCUGAUGUGAAAGCCCACGGGUCAACCGUGGAGGGUCAUUGGAAACUGGAAAACUUGAGUGCAGAAGAGGAAAGUGGAAUUCCAUGUGUAGCGGUGAAAUGCGCAGAGAUAUGGAGGAACACCAGUGGCGAAGGCGACUUUCUGGUCUGUAACUGACGCUGAUGUGCGAAAGCGUGGGGAUCAAACAGG
rnacentral:rRNA from 1 species